AUUCUAUGAGGAGUAGUGAAAGGUCUGACUCCCAGGGUCCCCUCCCUGCACCCUUGGCAUCCCCUUGGGCUCCAGUACUGCCGAGUCGGGCAGAAGGGGGGCGGUGCUGGGUGGUGCCCCAGUGCUGUGCUCCUUGGCUAGCACCCCACAGUCACCAGCCCCGGGGGUUUGACUGUUGGGAGUGCGCAGCUCUUUGUGGUUAUGGUCUGACGUUUCAAGCUGAGACC